rnacentral:lncRNA from 1 species
CAAAACCAUUUACCCCAUCUUAUAUCCUUAAUCAUCCUACUUAACCGGUUCCCUUUUUUUCUUUUUCUUUCUUCGUUAAUAGGUGGUGACUGCAAGGGGAGGGGGCUAUGGGCCGCAAGUUACUUGCCGGAAGAAGGACAUCUACUCGAAAUUCCACGAGGAUGCUAAAGUCUGCUGCAAUGGAGAAUUGGUGAUGACAACAGGUGGGACGCAGAAGGAGUACGUGGUGGAUGUGUGUAUGAACACAAAAAUUCUUUUUCAUUUCUACUAACUACUUAACUGCUUUAAGAUUUUGUCCUCCAUGUGAGGACAUAUUUAUUUGUUGUUAUUUUCUUAGCUAAGAAGAAGAUGAGAACAAGAUGAGAAGGAAAAACAGAAACUACUUUGAUACAAUUCAAACACAUAUAUAGAGUAGAAAAAGAAGAGUUUUGACUUACCAGAGCAAAGUUGAGAACAAGAUAUGAGUCGAAAAAUAGAGCUUCUUUGAGUCUGCUGUGAGUGUCUUUGAGUCUGUUGUGAGUGUCAAUUGAAGAGCAGGAGUUGAAGAGCAGGGUUUUCUGCAGAUUCGGGAAGAAAUUAAUCUAAUUUUCAGGGAUAAAAUGGUAAAAUAAUAAAUAAAAGUAAGGGUGCUUUUGUCUGCUACAGUACCAACAGCUCAGUAAAUUCAUCCACUGCUGCUGAUUGCUCCAGUUGAAAAUCAGCUGACCAGUGUGGUAGGAAAGUAAUCUCACUGCACUGAUAGUCCAAACAAACAAUACAGCAGUGAGUUUGGUAGCAAAUUUUUCAUGUAAAC